UGCCUGGAGUUGCAACGGUACAGGAAAGGGUUUCCAUUUUCUGUGCCAUAAGGUGCCGGUGUUGAUCUUCUUAAAGCCCCAGAGUUUUCUUCCAAGACUGGAUUACGCUCAGCAAUUAAGGCUUCUUGUUGUAAGAGCUCAGCAGACAGUGACGCGAGACACUGCCUCCCAACUUCAGUUCACCUUUGCAGUUCCACAAGGGACACCAUGUCAAGAUUGUUCAGCUUUUUUGAUGAGUGCUGCGUGGGUAACUAAUGUGUAAAUGCAGAUACGUAUAGAAAGCAGUUUUGACAGUGAUGUAUUGCAACUGGUUCCAGAUUGUCGGUAAGGGAUGCUUGGCCAGGCAACUGGGGCUGCACUGCCACAGAGCAGCUCCAGAGUCACACCACUCCUCAAACCAGGGCACUGUAAUCCUCCUUUUAGAAUCUUCCUUAAACUAUUAUUGUACUCCUCUCAAAAUAAUACAAAUAUUUCUGCUGUGCUGCUCGUGUUUUAAACAUAGACUUUUUGGCUUUCUACAGUAAUGUUCAGUGAAUAUUAAAAUUUAGUGAAUAGUCAUCUGCUAUAAUGAGACCUUUAACUAAAUUACACCAAAACCUCAAUAUGCACAAAAUGUA
rnacentral:lncRNA from 1 species